UACGUAGGGUCCGAGCGUUGUCCGGAGUUACUGGGCGUAAAGCGCGCGCAGGCGGUCCGAUAAGACUGGCGUGAAAGCCCCCGGCUCAACCGGGGAGGGUCGUUGGUGACUGUCGGACUUGAAGACAGCAGGGGCAGGUGGAAUUCCCGGUGUAGUGGUGAAAUGCGUAGAGAUCGGGAGGAACACCCGUGGCGAAGGCGGCCUGCUGGGCUGUUCUUGACGCUGAGGCGCGAAGGCGUGGGGAGCGAAC
rnacentral:rRNA from 1 species